ACGUUAGCGGCGGACGGGUGAGUAACACGUGGGUAACCUACCUAUAAGACUGGGAUAACUUCGGGAAACCGGAGCUAAUACCGGAUAAUAUUUCGAACCGCAUGGUUCGAUAGUGAAAGGUGGUUUUGCUAUCACUUAUAGAUGGACCCGCGCCGUAUUAGCUAGCUGGUAAGGUAACGGCUUACCAAGGCGACGAUACGUAGCCGACCUGAGAGGGUGAUCGGCCACACUGGAACUGAGACACGGUCCAGACUCCUACGGGAGGCAGCAGGC
rnacentral:rRNA from 1 species